rnacentral:rRNA from 1 species
AAAGCCUGAUGCAGCAACGCCGCGUGCGCGAUGAAGGCCUUCGGGUUGUAAAGCGCUUUUCUGGAGGAAGAGCAAGGACGGUACUCCAGGAAUCAGGAUCGGCUAACUACGUGCCAGCAGCCGCGGUAACACGUAGGAUCCGAGCGUUAUCCGAAUUUACUGGGCGUAAAGCGCGUGUCGGCGGUUCGGUAGGUUGGACGUGAAAUCUCCCGGGCUCAACUGGGAGGGGGUCGUUCAAAACUGCCGGGCUAGAGGGCGGUAGAGGGAGGUGGAAUUCCCGGUGUAGUGGUGAAAUGCGUAGAUAUCGGGAGGAACACCAGUGGCGAAAGCGGCCUCCUGGACCGUACCUGACGCUCAGACGCGAAAGCUAGGGGAGCGAACGGGAUUAGAUACCCCGGUAGUCCUAGCUGUAAACGAUGUGGACUUGGCGUGGGUGGGGUAAAAGCCAUCCGUGCCGAAGCCAACGCGAUAAGUCCACCGCCUGGGGACUACGGCCGCAAGGUUA